UAGAAGAUUCCAUGUUCAAGAAAAAGAAAGGGUCUCCUAUUCAUACUCGAUGCCGAUUCAUUACUCUUGCAACAUAUGUAUUUUGCAGUUAGUAAUUGAAC